GGAUUUGUGUCAAUUUGUGAUGAACUUGUUGCGUUCAUACUCCCUAUCCAUGUUAUGUGUUGAUAUCAUGUUGUUGUUGUUGAAAUUGUGGAAAGAGAAGGAAAGAAGAAAGAGGAAAAGAGGAAGAAUAGAAGAAGAGGAAGGAAGAAGAUGGAAAACUCAUGAAGAUCAUGUUCAUAACCACCAUCAUCUCAUCUUCAU
rnacentral:lncRNA from 1 species